AGGACCAGUCAACCCGGUCAAACGCUUUCUCUGCGUCUGUUGUUAAUAGCAAAGUUGGUAUUUUCUUUUCUGUUGCAUGAUGUAUCAGGUUGAUCAGUUUGGUACAGUUGUCCUUUCCCUCUCUCCCCUUCACAAAUCCUGCCUGUUCCGGGUGUAUAAGGGUAGGGAUGAUGUCUUGCAGUCUAUUGGCUAACAUUUUGGCGUAUAAUUUCUGGUCUAGGUUUAUUAACGAAAUGGGUCUGUAACUUCCGCAUGUUGCUGGAUCUUUAUUGGGUUUGUGGAGUACUGUAAUCUGUGCCUCUUGUGCUUGUUUUUGAAAAUGUUUUUUAUCAGAUAUGGAGUUAAAAUGUCUUAGCAUUAUGCUAGUAAUCAGUUGUUGAUAUUCUUUAUAAAAGCCAAUACUGUAUCCAUCAGGGCCUGGGCUUUUGUUUUGUGGGGCUUCUUUGAUUACUCUCCAUAGUUCUUUUUCUGUGAAGGGACUAUCUAGCUGCUUUUUUUGUAUGUCAGAAAGCUUGGGUAAUUGCAAUUGAUCUAAGUAUUGUUUCAUUUUUUCCAGUUUCUCCUUGGAAUUGCCUCCUGGGUUCAGGUUGUAGAGUGCAUGAUAGAACUCUUGGAAACAAUUCGCAAUUUCUGGGUUAUGGACGAUUUCUGAGAAGAACAAUCAAGUAAAGGGUUAAGGGUUACAUUAAGAUCUCCGCCGAUCAAUAUUAGUCCUUCUGCGAAUUCCUGUAGCUGUGAUGUGACUACUUUCAUAUAUUUUAUCUGUUCCUUAUUUGGUAUAUAUAUAGAGCAAAGCGUCAUAGUUGUAUUGUAUAGCUUUACUUUGGUCAUGACAUAAUGGCCUUCUGUAUCUUGUUUCGUGUCUAGCACUGUUAACGGAAUGUCUUUGUGGAUUAAGAUUGCUGUUCCUUUCACUUUUUUUCCCGUAUUCGAGCUGAGAAAAAUCUGUGUAUACCAUCUAUUUCUAAUCACUGUCUGGUGGGACUGUUUGAUAUGCGUUUCCUGUAAAUAAACUAUUUUUGCUCCA